ensembl:snoRNA
UUCCACAGCUACUGGUCUGCAACUGCUCAUAUGAUAGCAUUUGUAGCAUUCCUCUGUGGGAAAGAAACUGUUACACAAUUUAAUGCCUCUUUCUUAGCCAAACUGAAAGGGGAAGAAUGUGCGUGACAGACACAA